AUUGACCUCAAAUCAGGUAGGGA
rnacentral:rRNA from 1 species